rnacentral:rRNA from 1 species
CAGCAACUUGGAGGAAUGUAUAGGGAAAACUAGUAAAAUGUGAUGUACCUAGUAGUAUUAGUGAUUAAUAUGAGAUUAACUUAGUUAAUUAAAAUUCUAAGUAAAUAUGUGAUAAUGACAGUAUUUGCUUAUGUCUUGACCAAGUCACGUGCCAGCAGUCGCGGUAAUACGUGGAAGAUUAGUGUUAUUCAUCUUUAACAGGUUUAAAGGGUACCUAGACGGUUAAUUAAACACAAUUAUGUAUUAAUUAACUAGAGUUUAAUGUAAGAAGGAUUGAGUACGGUGAGUGUAGAGAUAAAAUUUUAUAAUACCACUUUGGAACUGGUAAAGGCGAAGGCAACCUUCCAUGUAAAAACUGACGUUAAGGGACGAAGGCUCGUAUAAAAUAACAGGAUUAGAUACCCUAGUAUUGUGGGCAGACAAUGAUGAGUGUCAUAUGCAAGAAAUUUUUUGUGUAUAAAUGAAAGUGUAAGCACUCCACCUCAAGAGUAACGUGGCAACAUGGGAACUGAAAUCAUUAGACCGUUUCUGAAACUCGUAGUGAAGUAUGUUGUUUAAUUUGAUGGUCCACAAAUAACCUUACCACAAUUUGUAUAACCACAAGAGGUAAUUUUUAAUUUUUAACAUUAAAAUAAUAAAUUUAUGUUUAUGUAGUUUUUUAGAUUUCCACAUAAUUAUGUGGUUUUUUAGAUUUCCACAUAAUUAUGUAAAGCUUGUGGUUACAAGCGUUGCACGGCUGUCUUCAGUCAAUGUUGUGAAACUGUGGUUAGAUCCAUUAAAUUGACGUAAACCCUUACUUUAUUUGUUAUAAAGUAGUUCGCCGCUAUAUUGGUAGUGAUAUAAGGGACUAAGACAAGUCAUCAUGGCCUGAACAUUGUGGGCUAUAGACGUGCCACAUUAGCC